rnacentral:rRNA from 1 species
UACAGAGGCCUCAAGCGUUGUUCGGAUUCAUUGGGCGUAAAGGGUGCGUAGGCGGCGGGGCAAGUCGGAUGUGAAAUCUCAGGGCUCAACCCUGAAACUGCAUUCGAUACUGCCUUGCUCGAGGACUGGAGAGGAGAUUGGAAUUCACGGUGUAGCAGUGAAAUGCGUAGAUAUCGUGAGGAAGACCAGUGGCGAAGGCGGAUCUCUGGACAGUUCCUGACGCUGAGGCACGAAGGCCAGGGGAGCAAACGGG